GUGACCCCAGGUCAGGUGGGGCCACCUGCCGAGUUUAAGCAUAUAAAUAAGCGGAGGAGAAGAAACUUAAGAGGAUUCCCAUAGUAACGGCGAGCGAACCGGGAUUAGCCCAGCUUGAGAAUUGUACGGCUGUGCCGUCCGAAUUGUAGUCUGGAGAAGCGUCCUUAGCGACGGACUGGGCCCAAGUCCCCUGGAAAGGGGCGCCGGGGAGGGUGAGAGUCCCGUUCGGUGCGGACCC
rnacentral:rRNA from 1 species